rnacentral:rRNA from 1 species
UGGGGAAUAUUGCACAAUGGGCGGAAGCCUGAUGCAGCGACGCCGCGUGGGGGAUGAAGGCCUUCGGGUUGUAAACUCCUUUCGACAGGGACGAAGCUUUUGUGACGGUACCUGUAUAAGAAGCACCGGCUAACUACGUGCCAGCAGCCGCGGUAAUACGUAGGGUGCGAGCGUUGUCCGGAAUUACUGGGCGUAAAGAGCUCGUAGGUGGUUUGUCGCGUCGUCUGUGAAAUUCCGGGGCUUAACUCCGGGCGUGCAGGCGAUACGGGCUGACUUGAGUGCUGUAGGGGAGACUGGAAUUCCUGGUGUAGCGGUGAAAUGCGCAGAUAUCAGGAGGAACACCGAUGGCGAAGGCAGGUCUCUGGGCAGUAACUGACGCUGAGGAGCGAAAGUAUGGGUAGCGAACAGG